CCAGCUCCAAUAGCGUAUAUUAAAGUUGUUGCAGUUAAAAAGCUCGUAGUUGAACCUUGGGUAAAAGGAUAAGGUUAAUCGCAAGAUUGAACUUUAUAAGUUUACCUCUAAAAGAGGGACUUGGUCGAUAAACUCGGCCAAGGUAACUCGUGUUACUGUGAAGAAAUUAGAGUGUUUAAAGCAGGCAAUAGCUUGAAUACAUCAGCAUGGAAUAACAAGACAAGACUAAAUGUCUUCUUGUUGGUUUGGAGAUUUUAGUAAUGAUUAAUAGGGCCAGUUGGGGGCAUUAGUAUUUAGUAGUCAGAGGUGAAAUUCUUGGAUUUACUAAAGACUAACUAGUGCGAAAGCAUUUGCCAAGGAUGUUUUCA
rnacentral:rRNA from 1 species